rnacentral:rRNA from 1 species
AGAGUUCUAUAACUCCCAAACCCAUGUGAACAUACCUAACGUUGCCUCGGCAGGUCGCACCUACCUUGUAGCACCCUACCCUGUAGGGCCUACCCGGGAGGUGCGGGUAAGCCUGCCGGCGGCCCACCAAACUCUGUUUGAUAUUGAAUUCUGAACCUAUAACUAAAUAAGUUAAAACUUUCAACAACGGAUCUCUUGGUUCUGGCAUCGAUGAAGAACGCAGCGAAAUGCGAUAAGUAAUGUGAAUUGCAGAAUUCAGUGAAUCAUCGAAUCUUUGAACGCAUAUUGCGCCCAUUAGUAUUCUAGUGGGCAGGACCGUUCGAGCGUCAUUUCAACCCUUAAGCCUUCGUUGCUUAGUGUUGGGAGCCUACGGCAACGUAGCUCCUCAAAGUUAGUGGCGGAGUUAGUUCACACUCUAGACGUAGUAAUUUUUUAUCUCGCCUAUUAGUUGGACUAAUCCCCUGCCGUAAAACCCCCAAUUUAUCAAGGUUGACCUCGAAUCGGUUCAGACAAACUCGCUAAAUUGAAGCAUCUUAGUCAGCGA